GAUGAAGAACGUAGCGAAAUGCGAUACUUGGUGUGAAUUGCAGAAUCCCGUGAACCAUCGAGUCUUUGAACGCAAGUUGCGCCCGAAGCCAUUAGGCCGAGGGCACGCCUGCCUGGGCGUCACACGUCGUUGCCCCCCCAUCUACUCCUUCGGGAUUGCGGGGGGCGGAUGAUGGCCUCCCGUGCGCCUCGCCGCGCGGUUGGCAUAAAUGCCAAGUCCUCGGCGACGCACGCCACGACAAUCGGUGGUUGCGAAACCUCGGUUGCCCGUCAUGUGCAGUCGUCGCGCAUCGAGGGCUCGAAAAAAUUGCCGGGUUCCGGCUCGGCUUUCAACGCGACCCCAGGUCAGGCGGGGUUACCCGCUGAAUUUAAGCAUAUCAAUAAGCGGAGGA
rnacentral:misc_RNA from 1 species